ACGAUUUGAUGCAAGGUUAAGCAGUAAAUGUGGAGCCGUAGCGAAAGCGAGUCUGAAUAGGGCGUUUAGUAUUUGGUCGUAGACCCGAAACCAGGUGAUCUACCCUUGGUCAGGUUGAAGUUCAGGUAACACUGAAUGGAGGACCGAACCGACUUACGUUGAAAAGUGAGCGGAUGAACUGAGGGUAGCGGAGAAAUUCCAAUCGAACCUGGAGAUAGCUGGUUCUCUCCGAAAUAGCUUUAGGGCUAGCCUCAAGUGAUGAUUAUUGGAGGUAGAGCACUGUUUGGACGAGGGGCCCCUCUCGGGUUACCGAAUUCAGACAAACUCCGAAUGCCAAUUAAUUUAACUUGGGAGUCAGAACAUGGGUGAUAAGGUCCGUGUUCGAAAGGGAAACAGCCCAGACCACCAGCUAAGGUCCCAAAAUAUAUGUUAAGUGGAAAAGGAUGUGGCGUUGCCCAGACAACUAGGAUGUUGGCUUAGAAGCAGCCAUCAUUUAAAGAGUGCGUAAUAGCUCACUAGUCGAGUGACACUGCGCCGAAAAUGUACCGGGGCUAAACAUAUUACCGAAGCUGUGGAUUGUCCUUUGGACAAUGGUAGGAGAGCGUUCUAAGGGCGUUGAAGCAUGAUCGUAAGGACAUGUGGAGCGCUUAGAAGUGAGAAUGCCGGUGUGAGUAGCGAAAGACGGGUGAGAAUCCCGUCCACCGAUUGACUAAGGUUUCCAGAGGAAGGCUCGUCCGCUCUGGGUUAGUCGGGUCCUAAGCUGAGGCCGACAGGCGUAGGCGAUGGAUAACAGGUUGAUAUUCCUGUACCACCUAUAAUCGUUUUAAUCGAUGGGGGGACGCAGUAGGAUAGGCGAAGCGUGCGAUUGGAUUGCACGUCUAAGCAGUAAGGCUGAGUAUUAGGCAAAUCCGGUACUCAUUAAGGCUGAGCUGUGAUGGGGAGAAGACAUUGUGUCUUCGAGUCGUUGAUUUCACACUGCCGAGAAAAGCCUCUAGAUAGAAAAUAGGUGCCCGUACCGCAAACCGACACAGGUAGUCAAGAUGAGAAUUCUAAGGUGAGCGAGCGAACUCUCGUUAAGGAACUCGGCAAAAUGACCCCGUAACUUCGGGAGAAGGGGUGCUCUUUAGGGUUAACGCCCAGAAGAGCCGCAGUGAAUAGGCCCAAGCGACUGUUUAUCAAAAACACAGGUCUCUGCUAAACCGUAAGGUGAUGUAUAGGGGCUGACGCCUGCCCGGUGCUGGAAGGUUAAGAGGAGUGGUUAGCUUCUGCGAAGCUACGAAUCGAAGCCCCAGUAAACGGCGGCCGUAACUAUAACGGUCCUAAGGUAGCGAAAUUCCUUGUCGGGUAAGUUCCGACCCGCACGAAAGGCGUAACGAUUUGGGCACUGUCUCAACGAGAGACUCGGUGAAAUCAUAGUACCUGUGAAGAUGCAGGUUACCCGCGACAGGACGGAAAGACCCCGUGGAGCUUUACUGUAGCCUGAUAUUGAAAUUCGGCACAGCUUGUACAGGAUAGGUAGGAGCCUUUGAAACGUGAGCGCUAGCUUACGUGGAGGCGCUGGUGGGAUACUACCCUAGCUGUGUUGGCUUUCUAACCCGCACCACUUAUCGUGGUGGGAGACAGUGUCAGGCGGGCAGUUUGACUGGGGCGGUCGCCUCCUAAAAGGUAACGGAGGCGCUCAAAGGUUCCCUCAGAAUGGUUGGAAAUCAUUCAUAGAGUGUAAAGGCAUAAGGGAGCUUGACUGCGAGACCUACAAGUCGAGCAGGGUCGAAAGACGGACUUAGUGAUCCGGUGGUUCCGCAUGGAAGGGCCAUCGCUCAACGGAUAAAAGCUACCCCGGGGAUAACAGGCUUAUCUCCCCCAAGAGUUCACAUCGACGGGGAGGUUUGGCACCUCGAUGUCGGCUCAUCGCAUCCUGGGGCUGUAGUCGGUCCCAAGGGUUGGGCUGUUCGCCCAUUAAAGCGGUACGCGAGCUGGGUUCAGAACGUCGUGAGACAGUUCGGUCCCUAUCCGUCGUGGGCGUAGGAAAUUUGAGAGGAGCUGUCCUUAGUACGAGAGGACCGGGAUGGACAUACCUCUGGUGUACCAGUUGUCGUGCCAACGGCAUAGCUGGGUAGCUAUGUGUGGACGGGAUAAGUGCUGAAAGCAUCUAAGCAUGAAGCCCCCCUCAAGAUGAGAUUUCCCAACUUCGGUUAUAAGAUCCCUCAAAGAUGAUGAGGUUAAUAGGUUCGAGGUGGAAGCAUGGUGACAUGUGGAGCUGACGAAUACUAAUCGAUCGAAGACUUAAUCAA
rnacentral:rRNA from 1 species